rnacentral:rRNA from 1 species
GGGCGUAAAGAACUCGUAGGCGGUUUGUCGCGUCUGCUGUGAAAUCCCGAGGCUCAACCUCGGGCCUGCAGUGGGUACGGGCAAACUAGAGUGUGGUAGGGGAGAUUGGAACUCCUGGUGUAGCGGUGGAAUGCGCAGAUAUCAGGAAGAACACCGAUGGCGAAGGCAGAUCUCUGGGCCAUUACUGACGCUGAGGAGCGAAAGCGUGGGGAGCGAACAGGAUUAGAUACCCUGGUAGUCCACGCCGUAAACGUUGGGAACUAGAUGUAGGGUCCAUUCCACGGAUUCUGUGUCGCAGCUAACGCAUUAAGUUCCCCGCCUGGGGAGUACGGCCGCAAGGCUAAAACUCAAAGGAAUUGACGGGGGCCCGCACAAGCGGCGGAGCAUGCGGAUUAAUUCGAUGCAACGCGAAGAACCUUACCAAGGCUUGACAUAUACCGGAAAAGCGUAGAAAUACGCUCCCCGCAAGGUCGGUAUACAGGUGGUGCAUGGUUGUCGUCAGCUCGUGUCGUGAGAUGUUGGGUUAAGUCCCGCAACGAGCGCAACCCUCGUCCUAUGUUGCCAGCACGUAAUGGUGGGAACUCAUGGGAGACUGCCGGGGUCAACUCGGAGGAAGGUAAU